AUCGCUUCUCAGCCUUUUGGCUAAGAUCAAGUAUAGUAUCUGUUCUUAUCUGUUUAGUAUCUUGAUAUUUUUUAAGUGCAUGUACAUAUAAAGACAUAAACUUAGAUCACUGAAACAAU
rnacentral:snRNA from 1 species